rnacentral:rRNA from 9 species
GCAUUGGAACCACCUGAUCCCAUCCCGAACUCAGCAGUGAAACGAUGCAUCGCCGAUGGUAGUGUGGGGUUUCCCCAUGUGAGAGUAGGUCAUCGUCAAGA